UCCACGAGGAUGUAGAUCAUUAGA
rnacentral:siRNA from 1 species